UUUGUGAAGUCACCAGAUAUGGAUGGGCAAAUACUGCAUCUAAAGUUAAAAUUGCUUGGAAAUAAGAUUAGAAAUGACUUUCUCUUGCAAAGUGUGUCAGUACUCUGUAAAGUCUAUUCCAGAAUUUGUCAGACAUGCUAAGGAACACAGGAAUCUUGCAAACUAUGGAUUCUCUUGUGGAUUUUUCCAGUGUCCAUGUAACUUCAAAACUGCUGUUGGCCUUCGUACACAUAUCGUAACCAUGCAGUGAUUACACCAAGUGCUGACAAAUCACACAGUGGUGUAAAUAUGACAUGCCAGGUUAUGCGAUGUUCUUUCACUUCCACAUCUUGGGAUGCAUUGUGAAACGAAUAUCUCUGUGUAGGUCUAUGAUGUGUUGAAUAUGUUUUUCAUUUCUUUCAGCGUGUAUGUUGUUUGACAUUGCAGCGUGCUGAUGAGUUAAUAAAGAGGCAGCAAAAACCUGGGAUCUGCAUUGGCCCUGUCAAGUCUGGAGAGUGUUUUUACCAUUUAAUGAAUUAAAUUGUAAUAAAAGUUUUUAAAUGGACUUCUGAGUGUUGUCAUAAUUUACAAGCCUUUAUAUUUCAUUAUUUUUUAAGCAUGUAACAGAUUGUAGUUAGUUAUAUGUUGUGUAUAUAUGCG